GUAGAGAUGUGGAGGAACACCGAUGGCGAAGGCAGCCCCCUGGGAUGACACUGACGCUCAUGUACGAAAGCGUGGGUAGCAAACAGGAUUAGAUACCCUGGUAGUCCACGCCCUAAACGAUGUCAACUGGUUGUUGGGGGAGUGAAAUCCCUUAGUAACGAAGCUAACGCGUGAAGUUGACCGCCUGGGGAGUACGGUCGCAAGAUUAAAACUCAAAGGAAUUGACGGGGACCCGCACAAGCGGUGGAUGAUGUGGAUUAAUUCGAUGCAACGCGAAAAACCUUACCUACCCUUGACAUGUCCGGAAUCCUGCAGAGAUGCGGGAGUGCCCGAAAGGGAAUCGGAACACAGGUGCUGCAUGGCUGUCGUCAGCUCGUGUCGUGAGAUGUUGGGUUAAGUCCCGCAACGAGCGCAACCCUUAUCAUUAGUUGCUACGCAAGGGCACUCUAAUGAGACUGCCGGUGACAAACCGGAGGAAGGUGGGGAUGACGUCAAGUCCUCAUGGCCCUUAUGGGUAGGGCUUCACACGUCAUACAAUGGUCGGUACAGAGGGUUGCCAAGCCGCGAGGUGGAGCCAAUCCCAGAAAACCGAUCGUAGUCCGGAUUGUUCUCUGCAACUCGAGAGCAUGAAGUCGGAAUCGCUAGUAAUCGCGGAUCAGCAUGUCGCGGUGAAUACGUUCCCGGGUCUUGUACACACCGCCCGUCACACCAUGGGAGUGGAAUCUGCCAGAAGUAGGUAGCCUAACCGCAAGG
rnacentral:rRNA from 1 species